CAUGGCAAAUUAAUCAUCCGUUAGUGUUAGGACUAAGAACAUAAAUUCAUACCAGGCUUAUAAAUACCAGCCUGACCUCCAUCUACCAGGUCUGAAAGCAAGCUUAGAAGAGACGACCAGCACCAAACUCUCAGUUAUGAUGCUUCUCCUACUUUCUGAGGCAUGGUCUUGCUCGCCGAGCUGCAAAGCGGCACCAGAGCCAUGGCCUGCCCUCAAUAUUGCCUUGAAGUUGAGUAUGUCACCCGCACAUCUUCCGGCUAUAAGAAGCUGCCGUCAAAAGCUUGUGCAGGAUAUCAAUUUAACUUUGAUGUAAGGAAAUAAUUUAGAUUCAUAUGGCUACGUACAACAAUCACCUUACAGGGUUUUGGGUGUAUCAUUGCCUAUUAUGCAGCCUUUGUGGCCUUAUAUAAAGUUAUCCUUUGCUUUUAAA